ensembl:snRNA LOC120094460 U1 spliceosomal RNA
AUACUUACCAGUCAGGGCAGGUUCCAUGAUCAUGAAGGUGAUGAUUAUCCUUUGCAUGCCAGGUAUGUUGAACCCUGUGGUUUUCUCAAAUUCAGGGAACUUGACUGCAUAAUUUGUGAUAGCUGGGGGGACUGAGUUAGAGUUCUCCCUUA